rnacentral:rRNA from 1 species
CUUGGGUUCUAUUUCGUUGGUUCUAGGACCGAAGUAAUGAUUAAUAGGGAUAGUUGGGGGCAUUAGUAUUUAAUUGUCAGAGGUGAAAUUCUUAGAUUUAUGAAAGACUAACUACUGCGAAAGCAUUUGCCAAGGAUGUUUUCAUUAAUCAAGAACGAAAGUUAGGGGAUCGAAGACGAUCAGAUACCGUCGUAGUCUUAACCAUAAACUAUGCCGACUAGGGAUCAGCGGGUGUUUUUAAUGACCCCGUUGGCACCUUACGAGAAAUCAAAGUUUUUGGGUUCUGGGGGGAGUAUGGUCGCAAGGCUGAAACUUAAAGGAAUUGACGGAAGGGCACCACCAGGAGUGGAGCCUGCGGCUUAAUUUGACUCAACACGGGGAAACUCACCA